AUUGAACGCUGGCGGCAUGCCUUACACAUGCAAGUCGAACGGCAGCACGGGGCAACCUGGUGGCGAGUGGCGAACGGGUGAGUAAUGCAUCGGAACGUACCUUUCAGUGGGGGAUAACGUAGCGAAAGUUACGCUAAUACCGCAUAUUCUGUGAGCAGGAAAGCAGGGGAUCGCAAGACCUUGCGCUGAUUGAGCGGCCGAUGUCAGAUUAGCUAGUUGGUGAGGUAAAGGAGCACCAAGGCGACGAUCUGUAGCGGGUCUGAGAGGAUGAUCCGCCACACUGGAACUGAGACACGGUCCAGACUCCUACGGGAGGCAGCAGUGGGGAAUUUUUGACAAUGGGGGCAACCCUGAUCCAGCCAUGCCGCGUGAGUGAAGCAGGCCUUCGGGUUGUAAAGCUCUUUCGGCCGGGAAGAAAUCGCACGGGCUAAUACCCUGUGUGGAUGACGGUAUCGGAAUAAGAAGCACCGGCUAACUACGUGCCAGCCGCCGCGGUAACAC
rnacentral:rRNA from 1 species